rnacentral:lncRNA from 1 species
GUUUGAGAACUUGGAAACCAAUGAGAUCCCCACCCCUAAACCAUAUAUAUUCAUGUAUGGGACAAUAUAACAAAUAAAAUGAAAUGUAGGGGAAGUCCCUAGGGUCACCUACCCCCAGUGGCGGAUCCAGAAAUUUUCAUAAGUGGGGCCCACUGACUGACCUAAGAGGGGCCCGCUCCAGUCACGCUUCAGUGAUUCCCUAUAUAAGCAACCAAUUUUUUUCCCAAAAGGGGGGGGCUGGGCCCCUGCCCCCUAAAUCCUCUGCCUACCCCUACCUGUUUGAGAACUUGAAAACCGUUGAGAUCCCCACCCUUAAAUUAUAUAUAUUCAUAUGUAUGGGACAGUCAGACCGCACCUUUGAUCCCUGUUGUAGUGAACAUUUGUCUGAUUCGUGUCUCAUAACUUUUGUACUAUAGAACACAAACUCAGUUUUCUUUCCAGGGAAACCAGUCCAUUCAUACUAUUACAUGUUCAUACUAAGUCAAAUUGAACUUCUAGCAGUCAAAUAAAACCAAGGUUAACUACCAAGUAGAACAACUGCAAUCAUUGGGAACUUGUACCACUGCAGACUCACCAUAAAAAACUAUACAUUGAUAUAUGCAUUGCUUUUGAAACCUUGAUGACAUAUAAAUUAUUUGCCUUUAUAAAUAAAUCAUGAGAUAAACAUGAAUGUACUAUAUAUGAAUGUUUAAUGUUGAGGCAACAUUGCCAGUUUUCAUAAUUACGGUUGCCUUGGUUUUUGGUUAACUGCCUUCAGCGCUUACAGCGCUUUGAUUUUUUCUC